AACAUGGAAGAAUUUCACGAAUUUAUCUUAACGACAGUCCGACAACUGCCUUCAUGACCCGAGAGCCUGAAAGGCAAACAUUCGUGUUGCUACAUGGAGCAGGUUUUCUCCAUGUUACCGAAAUGCUUUCUAUGCCAUCUACAGCAUUAGGGCCUGCCAUGAAGUGGAAGGCUGUAUAAAAGCAGCACACCUGGAUAUGUUGAGACAGGGAAAAGGCAAGUACAGCAGGCGGUGUACUCUGAAGACCUUCAUCCAGGAUACUGUGCAGUCACUUCUGCAGCCAAAUGCGAUAGGUAAACAUGUUUUACACACACGCACACACACACACGCACAGACACACACACACGCACAGACACACACGAGGUACAUGAACAUAACCACAAGGAGUGUGAAUGUAAUGUGUCAUACAAA